GCAGGCUGCAGAUGGGAUGAGAAGAGACAGAGAAGUGAGUCCUGAGGGCAGAGAUCGAGGGAACCCCCUUGGAUGGACUCAAUGUAGUUGGGAGAAAAAGCAACAUAACAAGAGCUCCUUGAGGGCACGAGCUGUUUUUAUCUGUCUCUGUAUUUUAGCAUAGUUUGAAAAUGCUUAUUGACCAUGAUGGAACCUGAAAUUCGGAGCCUUUGCUUACUUGGUGUGAGUUAUCAGUAGUAUAAUGGAAAGAGCAUAGCCUCUUGAGCGAAAAUAACCGAGUUAAAAUCCUACCUCUGCUUCCUAAUACCAAGGUGAUUAUGGGACACGAGGAAGAAUGAAAAGAGAUGGCUGCUUCAGCACCUAGAAUAGUACCUGGCACCUUGUUGUUGUUCGAUCAUUUUCAGUUCUGACCAUCUUCUUCAUGACCCCACUUGGAGUUUUCUUGGCCAAGAUACCAGAGUGACUUACCAUUUCCUUCUUCAGCUCAUUUUACAGAGGAAGAAAUUGAGGCAAAUACGGUUGUGACUUUCCCAGGUUCUCACAACUAGUAAGUGUCUGAGGCUGGGUUUGAACUUUGGAAGAUGAGUCUUCCUGACUCCAAGCCUGGCACUCCAUCUACUGUGACACCUAGUUGCCUGCCUGACACCUAGUAGGCAAAUACUUGUGGAUUCGUUGAUUAUCGAUGAUCCAUUGAGGCCACAGAGAACUGGGAUUGAGAGCCUAGGUUGCCUGAUUCCUUUUGAUUAUGUCUCCCUAGAGAAGCUGGCCAUGAUCAAGCAAAGAUUUAGGUGAAGCACUCGAUACAUUAUACCUCAAGGGGGAGGAUAACUCUUCCAAAGGGACGGCUGUCCCUCGCUGCUCCGUGUCCUGGUGCUCCAAAUGCCCAGCCGUGCCCCUAUCCCCCUGGGUUCCUUUCACCUCCUUACCUGGUUA